AUUGAACGCUGGCGGCAUGCCUUACACAUGCAAGUCGAACGGCAGCACGGGUGCUUGCACCUGGUGGCGAGUGGCGAACGGGUGAGUAAUAUAUCGGAACGUACCUUAUUGUGGGGGAUAACGCAGCGAAAGCUGUGCUAAUACCGCAUAAUCCCUAAGGGGGAAAGCGGGGGACCGUAAGGCCUCGCGCAAUUAGAGCGGCCGAUACCUGAUUAGCUAGUUGGUGAGGUAAAGGCUCACCAAGGCAACGAUCAGUAGCUGGUCUGAGAGGACGAUCAGCCACACUGGGACCGAGACACGGCCCAGACUCCUACGGGAGGCAGCAGUGGGGAAUUUUGGACAAUGGGGGCAACCCUGAUCCAGCAAUGCCGCGUGAGUGAAGAAGGCCUUCGGGUUGUAAAGCUCUUUUGUCAGGGAAGAAACAGCAGCUCUAACACAGUAUGCGAAUGACGGUACCUGAAGAAUAAGCACCGGCUAACUAUGUGCCAGCAGCCGCAGUAA
rnacentral:rRNA from 1 species